UACGUUUUAUUAUUUUAUUAAACGUUUACAGUAAAAUAUAUUGCUUUCUGUGCUGAAUACAUUUUCUUGUUUUACGCAGAUUGAUUGAACAAAUUUAAAAAAUUUACAAAACAAUUUGACUGUAUAAAAGACUUGAAAAAAUUAUUGGAACAAAAUGAAGAUUAUUUAAUGAGCAGCUCGAGCGAAAAUGAGACAGACAAUGAAUCAUCAUUAUCCGCUUGGGAUUUAAAAAAGUACAGCGAUGACGAUUCAUUUUCCAAAAAUCACGUAUUGGAAAUAAAAUGUUCAAAUUCCAUAACCUCAAAGAAAAGAAAUGGAGAAAAAAGAUUACCUACAAGAAGACCUGAUCCAAACGUCUACAAUCGCAAUGCUUUAUUGGCAAGAGAAAAUAGACGAAAGAAAAAGGCGUAUUUGGAAACAAUUGAGAAAGAGUUACAAUUCGCUCGGAAAGCUAAUCAUGCUUUAGUGAAAGCUCUUAAGCGACAGCUAAAAAUAGCUCAACGCCUUGAAAAGGAAAAGAAAUAUUAUGAAGGGUUGUUUUCUAAUAGAACUGAUAUAUUAAACCUUGUGAAUGCAUUAAAUUUUCGUUGCAUUCCUGAAUCGAGCGGUUCACCUUAUUCCACCUCUAGUAGCAAUGCAGAUUUAAUUCAGAACGUCAUGAGAAGUACAACGAGCCUUAGCAGUAAUUUAAAUGAUGCCGACGCGCUGUCAAUACAGUUUGAUAGUCCAUCUGAUGAUUUAGAUAGUGACAAAGAUAACAACUUGCCCUCCACCUCUACAACAUGGGAUGAUAUAUGGGGUGUAAAUGGUGUUCAUAUUGAUAACUUAAUUUUGCCAGAAUCAACGCUUAUGCAAGAAAAAAGUGAUAUACAAAGCGUUAACGAUGACCACUGUUAUGUGAUGAGUUCUGCAUUGGAUAUUAUUCAAUCACCUAAAGAACAUAGUGAAACUAGUGAUUAUGUCGAUGUUGAAGGAGACUCAUCAGAAAUUGGAAUAUUCUGUUCAAGUAAUUGGAACCAAUCGUGUCGAACACCACCUCUUCAGCUUUUAAGUGACCAGACGUUUUAAACAGUUUUUUGUAAAAAUACACAUUUGGCUAAUUUUGGAUCAUCAACGAUGCUGCGGAAAGUGCUUGACGCUGGUGUAAAGCUCGCACAAUAUGUAGCAUCUAGUAGUCAAGCAAGCGGUUUAAGUUUUUCUAUCACGGAACAAAAAUCGUUACAACUUUUGCAGCAAAAAUAUGUAUCGUUUCAAUUGAACAAAUGAAGAAUGUAAGAACAAUGACACAGAGCCCAAAUUACGGUAUUUGAUAUCGAUCAAAAUAUUAAUAGAAUUUAAAUCGAUAUUCCGAUUGCUUUUGAAUGUCGUAAUUUUUCUACCACUUUUUCUUGCAAUCAUCAUUUGUUUCGUGUAUAUAUUAUCAUAUGUACAAAUCCAUCAACUGCAGUUUUCUUACUGUACAUAUGAUAAUUGGUAAAAUGUUUGUAAAUAAACGCGAGAUAAUGCGUUCUUAAAUUUUGUUUAAAAUUAAACUAAUCAAUUCUUUUUUAUUUGAGUAUUACUAUUGAGUUACAGAUUUGAAGAAGUAAUCCUCCUACCAAAUAUCUGCAAAGACUAGAUCAAUAUGUAAAUGCAACCAAUUGUGGUUUUUGGUAUUUGUUGAAAUGUUGAUGUAACCGGCUUGGAAAAUUAUACG